UACGUAGGGUGCGAGCGUGGUCCGGAAUUAUUGGGCGUAAAGGGCUCGUAGGCGGUCUGUUGCGUCGGGAGUGAAAACUCAGGGCUUAACCCUGAGCCUGCUUCCGAUACGGGCAGACUAGAGGUAUGCAGGGGAGAACGGAAUUCCUGGUGUAGCGGUGAAAUGCGCAGAUAUCAGGAGGAACACCGGUGGCGAAGGCGGUUCUCUGGGCAUUACCUGACGCUGAGGAGCGAAAGUGUGGGGAGCGAACAGG
rnacentral:rRNA from 1 species